GGAGUGAGGGCGAUCUGACUGAGGCAUCUUUCACCCCACUGAAUGCCAGGGUUGAUUUGGCUGAUCUGGCUGGCUAGGUGGGCGUCCCCUUCCUCCCUCACUGCUACAUGUAUGUCCCUCCCGAAGCUGUGCGCUCAGUGGAAGAGGACAGCCUUCCCCGAACAGAGACGAACCUGUCUUUGGUCUAGGAUAUACGUAGCUGUGCUCCCCUGCUAGAACCUCCAAACAAGCUCUCAAGGUCCAAAUACGGAAUGGAAUCAACCUAAAUGUCUAUUAAUCAACAGAUGACUGGAUAAAAAUACAUGGGAUAUAUACUCAACAGAAUACUACCCAGUCAUUAGAAAUUAUGUCAUUGUGC
rfam:Erinaceus europaeus unplaced genomic scaffold scaffold00264, whole genome shotgun sequence